CCCGCCGGUUCGCGUCUCUCUGCUGCGGCGCGGGGACCGCUGUGCUCUCGGAAGCCAUCUUCGACAAGAGCACAGGGAAGGUUGUUUUGAAGACGUUCAGCCUCUACAAGAAGCUGCUGACUCUUUUCAGAGCUGGCCACGACCAGGGUGAGUCGUGGGGAGCAUGGGGACAUGGGACACAGUGGGCCACAGAGGCGGCGCACUUGGGCGUCUGGGUGACCCACGGGGCCUAGAGGGGGGCCUGGAAGUGCCUUUGGUCCAAGCUCACCUGCUUGGUGACCAGGGUUGUGUCCUGCCCGCUGGAAGCAGGAUCCCACGGAUACGCCCCACCUGCUCACCUGCUCAGUGGGGUCCUAGAGCCUCCUGGGUUCUUUAGAGGUUUGGCCCCUGGGGAGAGUGGGAGGAGCAGGGGUCUGGAGGAGCAAAGGUCUGGCAGAGCAGGGGUCUGAGGAGCAGGGGUCUGGCCCACCCGGGCUCGGGCAGCCUCUGUUUAGCUGCAUUCUCCCGCCUGCCUGGCAGCCACUUGUCCGCAGGUGCAGUCUGGCCCCAGUGG
rnacentral:sRNA from 1 species